AAAAAAAAAAAAAAAAAAAAAAAAAAAAAAAGAGGCAGCAUUUGCUGCUGUUUGUGUAGAUGUCAAGUAUCUGCAGACCAACGAUUCAUCUAGAAGUGCAUCCCCUACUACUGAAGAGACCUUGAAUCAUCUCUGGCAGCAGUGUGAUUCUUCUCUUCAAUUUCUACAGCCCCUGUGUCAGCAAAAGUUGUUCCGGGAAUGCAUUGUUAACAACCAGGAGCUUGGGAAGUGGUGGACUGCAGAGCAACUAGCUUCCUGUGUUGGACUCGGCCUUGAUGAAAAAAGGAGUAGCUCUACUUCUCAUCUUUGUAGUUGUCAAAAUCCUGGUCUUUGAGGAUUCUGUUUGCAGGACUUGCAUCUAAAAAAGAAAUCGUGGGCCUUGGAAACUGGUUCAUGACUCAAUUAGUGUCAAGUAAAGAUACUUUAUAUGAGGAAUGGAAAUUGCAGCUUGUUGCCACUAUGUGGCAAAUACUUGACUACUUCGAUUUCUGUAUAUUUGAGUUUGUUUUCUUUACCUGUCCGUUUGAUGAUUAUGAUUGAUACAACAAAUUCUGGUUUACUGAGUGAACAUAAGAACAGAUUAAUAGUGUUGUAAUAUACUAUUCAACUUAACUAUGAGUUGUAAUGUUACCCCGUUCUAAAAUUUUCAGCUUGCCUGUAAUGUUUAUCCUUUGUGAAUGCUUCUGCUUGUGUAUUGCUGCAUCAACUUGUGACUCACCAUAUGCUGUGUAUUGCUGCAUCAACUUGUGACUCACCAUAUGCUGUGUAUUGCUGCAUCAACUUGUGACUCACCAUAUGCUGUGUAUUGCUGCAUCAACUUGUGACUGGUGAUGUUGUGUAUUGCUUGAGCUGCUUUAGAUGCUUUGGGGAAGCUUGCAAAUUCAAGAGUUUGUUCCUUCCUAGGUUAUUGGUUAAUGUUAUUGUUUUGAAUUUUAGUCUAACCUUGGAUUUAUGACAUUCCCAUGUUUUCCUUCGAGAGUAAGGUAUUAGAGCAGUUUCUGGACCGUCUCAUUGAGUAGUACUGCUCCAGUUUAGUUUUGACCACCUCACUAUUUAUUCCAGCGAGUUGAAGGGUAUAAAGCUGCAACCAAUAUUUGCUUCAAUAUUCAAACUUUUAUUUAUUAAAUCUAACUUUAGUUCGAUAUUAAGUGUGUCAUUUCAUACUAAAGCCAUCAAUGAAGAACUUCUGCAUAAUCAGAUGCUCUACACUUGUCUGUACCUGAUAAAAUUGAAGUUGGUCUAGCUUUGUCUAAUUCUGAAGAACACGAUACCAGGAUGUGUGGAAAGAAAUUCUUUUUGGGUCAGAUUUCAAAGCUGUGUGCUAAUCCUGUUGCACUUGAGGCUACUGUGAUAAUUCAGCAUAUUCUUUUUGAAGUGAUCUGUUUGGUCAAGUUCCUCAACAAUUUAUUUUGACCUAACAUCUCUUAUAUGCUAGUUAGGUAGUUUUUUAUACUUAGUCUACUGUGUUUGAGUUUUUUAUCUUUACCUGUCCGUUUGAUGUUUAUGAUUGAUAAAUCAAAUUAUUGGUUUACUGAGUGAACAUGAUCCCAGAUAAAUAAUGUCAUAAAAUACUCUUCAACCUAACUAUGUUAAUUGUAAUGUUACCAUGUUGUAAAAUUUUCAGCUUGCCUAUAAUGUUUAUCCUUUGUGAAUGCUUCUACUUCAGAUCAGUCAUUAAGCAUCAACGCCUGACUCACCUUACGUUGGGUCUUUACGAGUUGUUUUAGAUGCUUUGUGGAAGCCUGCAGAUUCGGAAGUUUGUUCCUUCCUAGGUUAUCAGUGAAUGUUAUUAUUGUGAAUUACAGUCUGACCUUGGAUUUAUGACAUUAUGAUGUUUUCAUUUGGGAGUAAAGCAUUGGAGCAGUUUGUGGACCGUCUUAUUGAGUUGCCACAAUACUGCCAUCAUAUCCUACACUUUGCAGCAUUUAUAGAGAGGGAUCUUAACAAUUGCAGGCCCAUCAUUUUCUCUGAUCGGACCUGGCAGCAUCUCGUGUGGAUUAGC